UUUAAAUGGCCGCAGUAUAUUAACUGUGCAAAGGUAGCAUAAUCAUUAGUCUUUUAAUUGAAGGCUGGUAUGAAUGGUUGGACGAGAUAUUAACUGUUUCAUAAAAAUUUAUAAUAGAAUUUUAUUUUUUAGUCAAAAAGCUAAAAUUUAUUUAAAAGACGAGAAGACCCUAUAAAUCUUUAUAUUUAAUUUAUUAUGAUUUUAUAGAUUAUUUUUGUUAUAAUAAUUAAUAAUAUUUUAUUGGGGUGAUAUUAAAAUUUAAUAAACUUUUAAUUAUUAAAAUCAUUAAUUAAUGAGUAAUUGAUCCGUUAAUAACGAUUAAAAAAUUAAGUUACUUUAGGGAUAACAGCGUAAUUUUUUUGGAGAGUUCAUAUCGAUAAAAAAGAUUGCGACCUCGAUGUUGGAUUAAGAGAUAUAUUUAGGUGUAGCUG
rnacentral:rRNA from 1 species